UAGGGAAUCUUCCACAAUGGACGCAAGUCUGAUGGAGCAACGCCGCGUGAGUGAAGAAGGGUUUCGGCUCGUAAAGCUCUGUUGUUAAAGAAGAACGUGGGUAAGAGUAACUGUUUACCCAGUGACGGUAUUUAACCAGAAAGCCACGGCUAACUACGAGCCAG
rnacentral:rRNA from 1 species